AUGCAGAUAAGGAUUCUAAAUCCUGAAUUUAAGUUACAGAAUUCAAUAUCUAGCUGAAUGGUUUCUGCGGUAUGCAUGUGGGCUUUUAUGCAUUUAGCAUUACUAAUCAAGUAGUUUGAUUCUGAAUUUUUUACUAGAAUUAUAAAUAGUCUACCUGAAUUCUGACUUAACUAAGUGAAUGCUACAUUCGAAGUUGAGAAUUUGGAAUUUAGGAGUGCAUUGAACUAUUUGCUGUCCAUAACAGUUUCAGAUUCAGAGAUCUUUGAAUCGCAACAAGUGUUUUGGUCCAUAUGAUGUUUCUCUGCCCUCAGACCAGUGUAUUUAAUUUCCCUAUGUUCUUCGUGGAAUGCCGAAGUUCCUAGCUAGAUUAUCGAUUACCUAGAUCGUUCUGAGUUCUAGAAUCUGUUACCUUAAAUAGUGAAUAUGAAUUCUAAACAAAGUAUAUUUGUUUUCCUUAUAUUCUGCGUGAAAUUCGAAACUGCAUUGCUCAAUUCUGGAUUCCCAUGCUGUGAUGACCUA
rnacentral:lncRNA from 1 species